rnacentral:rRNA from 1 species
AUUGAACGCUGGCGGCAGGCCUAACACAUGCAAGUCGAGCGAGCGGAGGACGGGGGAGUAAUGUCUGGGAAACUGCACGUUGGAGGGGGAUAACUACUGGAAAAGGUAGCUAAUAACGCACCCCAUACGAUGUGCCCAGAUGGGAUUAGCUAGUCGGUGGGGUAACGGCUCACCUAGGCGACGAUCCCUAGCUGGUCUGAGAGGAUGACCAGCCACACUGGAACUGAGACACGGUCCAGACUCCUACGUGAGGCAGCAGUGGGGAAUAUUGCACAAUGGGCGAAAGCCUGAUGCAGCCAUGCCGCGUGUGUGAAGAAGGCCUUCGGGUUGUAAAGCACUUUCAGCGGGGAGGCGUUACCCGCAGAAGAAGCACCGGCUAACUCCGUGCCAGCAGCCGCGGUAAUUC